AUACGUAGGUGGCAAGCGUUGUCCGGAAUUAUUGGGCGUAAAGCGCGCGCAGGCGGUCUUUUAAGUCUGAUGUGGAAGCCCACGGCUCAACCGUGGAGGGUCAUUGGAAACUGGAAGACUUGAGUGCAGAAGAGAAGAGCGGAAUUCCACGUGUAGCGGUGAAAUGCGUAGAGAUGUGGAGGAACACCAGUGGCGAAGGCGGCUCUUUGGUCUGUAACUGACGCUGAGGCGCGAAAGCGUGGGGAGCAAACAG
rnacentral:rRNA from 1 species